rnacentral:rRNA from 1 species
GAUGAACGCUGGCGGCAUGCCUAAUACAUGCAAGUCGAACGAGAGGAAGGAAAGCUUGCUUUUCUGAAUCUAGUGGCGAACGGGUGAGUAACACGUAGGUAACCUGCCCAUGUGCCCGGGAUAACUUCUGGAAACGGAUGCUAAAACCGGAUAGGUAGCAGACAAGCAUUUGACUGCUAUUAAAGUGGCUAAGGCCAUGAACAUGGAUGGACCUGCGGUGCAUUAGCUAGUUGGUGAGGUAACGGCCCACCAAGGCGACGAUGCAUAGCCGGACUGAGAGGGCGGACGGCCACAUUGGGCCUGAGAAACGGCCCAAACUCCUACGGGAGGCAGCAGUAGGGAAUUUUCGUCAAGGGGGGGAACCCUGAACGAGCAAUGCCGCGUGAGUGAGGAAGGUCUUCGGAUCGUAAAGCUCUGUUGUAAGAGAAAAACGACAUUCAUAGGGAAUGAUGAGUGAGUGAUGGUAUCUUACCAGAAAGUCACGGCUAACUACGUGCCAGCCGCCGCGGUAA